GGAGGAGGCCUUGUGUUCCCAGGCCCCCCGGCCGAGGCGUGUCGUCCCGCCGUGCUCCAGCUCCCAGGCUGGGCUCGAGUCGGGUCUGACCCCGCAGGCUCGGACGGCCAGGGACGCAGCGGCCGCGGGCAGCGCACACAGGCGCUACCAGAAGGGAUGCGGCUUAGAGAGGCUCGAAGAAAACGCGCGAGAAAUAAACAAGGGGAGAGAGAAAGAGAAAGGGGACGGAGAAAGGGGCGCAGAGUGGUUUUUCGCGAUAAAUAAAACACAUGCCCACGCAGAGGCUUUCUUCACACUUGUCCGGCGGCUGCGGUAAUUAAAGCUCCGAGCGUCAUUUCCAACGCUCCGCGGUCUCCAGCUGCAGCCCCACCGAGAAAUUAAUAAGACUCCGUCCGGGAG